AUGGACACGCCGCUGGCGGCGACGCGGCCGGCGAGCCGUCGCUCGAACCCCGUGGUGGAGCGGAAGCUCGUCGAACUUGACGACUGCCUCGACAAGGCGCUCAACUCCCGGCCGCGGCGCUACGACGUGGACGCCAGACUGUUCCCGGAGAUCCAGGCCAGGAUCGACUUCCUCCGCUCGCUCAUCGCCGCCGAGCGGGACAGCCACAGCCACAGCGGCGGGCGGCCGGGGCACCUUGUCGAGGCCGAGGAGCGCUUCGGCGUCCUCGAGAGGGCGUUCCAGCAGUGGGCGCAGAGUGUCGUCGCCGCGGCAACCGAGGAAGAAGAAGCCGAUCAGGCGGCGUCCGAGUCCGAGUCCGGGUCGUCCGGCGGCUGCUCAUGCAACGACUCCUGCUCCGGCUUCGAGUUCACGGGCCCGGAGGUGGCGCCCGACCCCAAGUGCAGCCCCGGGAGCGGCGACGCGGCGGAAGCACACAAGGAGGCGGCCGCGGCGAUAGAGGUGGCGCCCACGACAGGUACUGCCGCUCGGCGGCGCUGGUGGAGACGGCGCGCCGCUCUGUGCGGCGCCGCUGGCGUGGUGGCGGUGAUCGCGCUCGCGGCCGGGUUGGCGUUAGAGUUUGCCGCGGUGGCGGGGCCGUCCGUCACCCUUGUUCCGACGUAG
rnacentral:rRNA from 1 species